UUCUCUCUCACAUUCCACAUCUACAUAUUUAUCACUAUAUAAGCAACUAGGCUAAAUUACAAAAAAUCCUCUUAUCAAUAUCCGCUUUUUCACUUCCCUCUAUAUUAUUUAAAAAUAUACACUUUGGCCCUUUGAAAAAUUAUAAAUGUUCACUUUGGCCCCCGUUGUUAGUAUUUCGCUAGGGCUCCGUUUAUAUUCUAUUUAUUAUAUAUUUUUUAUAUAUACUCAAAUACUCUCAGCCUCCUCCCUGUCUCCUUCUUCCGCGCCGUCCACGUUGCCUCGCCCUACUUCGCCACCUCGCCCUCCUUCGUUGCCUCGCUCUCCUCCACCUCUCCAUCUGCGCUUACACACACGUUCUCAAACUUUCUUCGCCGUCUCGCCCUCGCCCUCGCCCUUCGCCCAUGCCCACCGCAAUCUCCUCCCUAUCGUCGCCGAAAUGGAGGGGUGACAAGGGUGUAGGAGGAACGGGGGAGCAGGUAGAGGAAACGAAGUUGUUGUUACGGUUGAGCGAGGCGCAAAGAGCGGAAGAGAAGGCGACGGCUGAACAAGAUUAGAAAGAAGAUCGGCCAUAGUGACUUGGUGAGGGAUAAUUUGGUCAUUUUAUCAUCACAGUUAAUAUCGUAUUCUCCUGUGGAUAUUUUUUACUUUUUAAGCUGGCAAAAUGUAGGUUUUAAAAUGAUAAAGAGAAAAGUAAAAAAGUGGAUAUUGAUAUAAAUGUUUUCUGUAAUUUAGCCAAUCAA
rnacentral:lncRNA from 1 species